CGUUGCGCGCAGCUGCAAAAGGUUCGAACGCCGAUCCGUUGGAGGAACUAAUUAGGGAAACGCUGUUUAUUUGACAAAGGGCGAAAUAUGAGCAGUACCGAAGCUUUUCACAAGACGAGUCCCGAUUAAUGGAUGGAAGUCUCAACGCCUGCGUGAAUCUAUAACGACGUAUGAAGCACCAAAAGUCGCAUUAAUGGGCUCACAGGAAAGCUGGAGCCUAUCCCAGGUAGCUUCGGCCGAAAGGCGGACUACACCCUGAACUGGUCGCCAGUCAGUCGCGGGGCAGACAUCGACUGAACAGGAAACGAUCCAUUGCUGCCCGCACCAAAGAUGUACUCGGUGCGGCUUGUAACCAGGUGCACUCUAUAGACCAGUAAUUACGGUAACAGGAGUGUGAAGGGGAGCACAACCGGCCCAGAAGGCAGAUUCUCAAUCACCUGGCGGCUUGUUGAUCGGUGAAAGAGAGCCCUCCAAAUGCUUGUUUUAACAUCCGCAUCCAGCUGCCCCGUGGACACACACAAACACGGUAAACAAAGCCCACAGAGCAGCCGCGGCCAAAUAUUUCUCACUGUGUUACAGCCAAGCUAAAUAACCCUGCACAAAGCAUUGCUGUAUAAUUACAUUUGCCCGGCUCGGGCCCUGCCAAAGUGGCGAGAAAGAGGGGGAAAAAAAAAAAAAAAACACAUUUAUAAAAAUUUGAGCGGAAUCUCACACCUGAGAAUUGCAGUGAACGUCGUCAGUUUGUUGAGUUUUUAGCGAGAUGUGUUGUGCUGUCGCUCUUUUUGCCACAGUCACCUUGGAAAGGUAACUUGGUUACUCGACUCAUUACUCGAUUACAAAUGUAUGUAAGAUACAUUAAAAGUAACUUUUUAGUUAGUUUUAGCAGCUGCCAAGUGGCAGGAAAAUCACUUAUUUACAGUACUAAAAGGAUUCGCUUAACCGUACCCAUUAUUUGGUAAUAUACGGCACGCAAGUUACAGAAUGUCAUUAACAUAAACCAUCCAUCCAUGAUCUGAGUCGCUUAUCCUCACAAAAGUCGCUGGUGUGCUGGACCCGAUACCAGCUACGCUUGGGCACGAGGCGCGGUACACCCCGAACUGGUUGUCAGUCAAUCGCAGGGCACAUUGCGCAAAACAACCAUCUGGGAGUCUCGAAUGCGUUUUUGAGAUGUGGGAGGAAACCCAGACUGGCACGGGGAGAGCAUGCAAACUCCAUACAGGCGGGACGGGGAUUGAACCGGGUCCUCGGAACUGUGAGGCCAACGCUUUACAGCUGCUCCACUGUGCUGCAACAUGGCAUAUACCCAGGCUUCUAUUUCUUUUUAAUCUUUUUGUUGUUCUUACUGUAUGUAUCUUGUGUUGGGUUUGGAUGAAACUCGACUUCCUGUUAAAAUCUUAAAAUUGUCUCAAAAUACGUCUGGAGCAACUCCUCGGACUAUAAACUUCUAAAGCACUUUUAAUCUUCUUCUCUUAUCACUUUCUUCAUUUUGGGUUAGCAAACAUACCGUACAUGUGUAUGCCGAGUGCUCUGAUCGCCGCUCUUUUAUCCAGUGAAGUAGCAUAAUUUCUCAAACAAAUGCGCAAAUUUUUCCAAAAAUAUUUUCCAAAAGUUAAUAAAGUGCAUUAAUUCUAUUUAGGUAUGGAUGAAAAUUAAAAAAUACAAUCACAUUGUAUACUCGUAUCCCGGUACAUAGUGGUUAAAAAAAAGGUAUACAUAUACAUUUCGAUACGAUAUUUGAUGUCUUAUGUUAUGCAUUUAUAUUUAUUAUGAUGUUUGCCCGCAACCUGAACUCUACGACCUCCUCGGGGAGCUUGCAUUUUUCGAUCGUUAGCGUAGCACGUUUGUUGCCACUGCACCAAAGAUCACAAACGACUCCCCGUGAGUUUGUUUUAAGUUCAACUAAAACAAAAAAUGUUGACUACAACGGCGAGUUGUGCAGCUGCUUUUAAAAGAAAUGUGUCAUCACUCGUGUGGAUGACGCCGCAAACCCGGACGUACCGCGAUAGUCCGAAACAACGACAGGUCAAUUACUUCAGAUGGGUGUCAAAAUAACGUAAGCUCAAAGGACGCAAUGUGUGCGACAUGGGCACAUUGAAAAAAGGGAGCGCGCGCACAGUUGAAUUUUUUUUUUUAAAAAUGCGCCCGUUAUGCUUGUUUCUACGUAGUUUGAGCUCGCGUUGUUUUGCUAGCCACCUGACGAUAUCGUGAAAGAUGCGACAGAUUGGAUUGAAUAGAGGGGGAGAGGCUGUGCUGCCCAACCCAAAAUCUUGGGAUUAUAAAAAAAAAAAAAAAAAAAAAAGUUUCCUAACAAACGCUAUGGAUAGCACCGAGGAUGACAUGGAGCGGGAGCAAGAUGGGAUGUUCAUGAUGCAAUGCAUGAGGCACCGGAACUGUACCAAGUCAUCGAUGAUGAGUUUACGACGGUAGCUUCUGUGGAUCUUUUUCGGAUUGGAGAUGAGUCAGAUGCUUGUUUUGAAGUCUUGGCCAAGGUUGUGUAAUGUCGUGGAUAAAGACGCUCUAUGCAUAAACGUUUUAUGCACAAAUAUACAAAAAAAAUAUUGAAAGUUAAACAGUUUGUAUUUUUAAGACUGUAAUAUGUGAUAACUAUUAAA